rnacentral:rRNA from 1 species
UACGAAGGGGGCGAGCGUUGUUCGGAUUUACUGGGCGUAAAGGGCGCGCAGGCGGCUCAUUUUGUCAGGCGUGAAAGCCCCGGGCUUAACCUGGGAACUGCGUUUGAUACGGAUGGGCUAGAGUUCGGGAGAGGAGCGUGGAAUUCCCAGUGUAGAGGUGAAAUUCGUAGAUAUUGGGAAGAACACCGGUGGCGAAGGCGGCUCUCUGGGACGGUACUGACGCUGAGACGCGAAAGCGUGGGGAGCGAUCCGG